AACGAACGCUGGCGGCGUGCCUAACACAUGCAAGUCGAGCGGGAAAGUCCCCUUCGGGGAGCGAGUACAGCGGCGAACGGGUGAGUAACACGUAGGUAACCUACCCUGGAGAUCGGGAUAACCUGCCGAAAGGCGGGCUAAUACCGGAUAAGACCACGAGGGCUGCGGCCCUUGAGGAAAAGAUGGCCUCUGCUUGCAAGCUAUCACUCUGGGAUGGGCCUGCGCGCCAUUAGCAGUUGGUGAGGUAACGGCUCACCAAGGCUGAGAUGGCUAGCUGGUCUGAGAGGAUGGCCAGCCACACUGGGACUGAGACACGGCCCAGACUCCUACGGGAGGCAGCAGUGGGGAAUAUUGCGCAAUGGGCGAAAGCCUGACGCAGCGACGCCGCGUGGGUGAUGAAGGCCUU
rnacentral:rRNA from 1 species